GACGAACGCUGGCGGCGUGCUUAACACAUGCAAGUCGAACGGAAAGGCCCUGCUUGUGUGGGGUGCUCGAGUGGCGAACGGGUGAGUAACACGUGAGUAACCUGCCCUUGACUUUGGGAUAACUUCAGGAAACUGGGGAUAAUACCGGAUAGGAGCUCCUGCUGCAUGGGGGGGGUUGGAAAGUUUAGGCGGUUGGGGAUGGACUCGCGGCUUACCAGCUUGUUGGUGGGGUAGUCGCUUACCAAGGGUUUGACGGGUAGCCGGCCUGAGAGGGUGACCGGGCACAUGGGGACUGAGGUACGGACCAGACUCCUACGGGAGGCAGCAGGGGGGAAUAUUGCACAAUGGGCGGAAGCCUGAUGCAGAAACGCCGCGUGCGGGAUGACCGCCUUCGGGUUGUAAACCGCUUUCGCCUGUGACGAAGCGUGAGUGACGGUAAUGGGUAAAGAAGCACCGGCUAACUACGUG
rnacentral:rRNA from 1 species